AGAUUGAACGCUGGCGGCAGGCCUAACACAUGCAAGUCGAGCGCGAAAGUUCCUUCGGGAAUGAGUAGAGCGGCGGACGGGUGAGUAACGCGUAGGAAUUUGCCCAGUAGUGGGGGACAACUCGGGGAAACUCGAGCUAAUACCGCAUACGCCCCAAGGGGGAAAGCAGGGGAUCUUCGGACCUUGCGCUAUUGGAUAAGCCUGCGUCGGAUUAGCUAGUUGGUGGGGUAAGGCCUACCAAGGCAACGAUCCGUAGCUGGUCUGAGAGGAUGAUCAGCCACACUGGACUGAGACACGGCCCAGACUCCUACGGGAGGCAGCAGUGGGGAAUAUUGGACAAUGGGGGGCAACCCGUGAUCCAGCCAUGCCGCGUGUGUGAAGAAGGCCUUAGGGUUGUAAAGCACUUUCAGUGGGAAGGAAAAGCGUGGCGGACUAAUACUCCGGUCCGGCCCGUGUACCGUUACCCAC
rnacentral:rRNA from 1 species